GAUGAACGCUGGCGGCGUGCCUAAUACAUGCAAGUCGAGCGAACAGGCGAGGAGCUUGCUCCUCUGACGUUAGCGGCGGACGGGUGAGUAACACGUGGAUAACCUACCUAUAAGACUGGGAUAACUUCGGGAAACCGGUGCUAAUACCGGAUAAUAUAUUGAACCGCAUGGUUCAAUAGUGAAAGACGGUUUUGCUGUCACUUAUAGAUGGAUCCGCGCCGCAUUAGCUAGUUGGUAAGGUAACGGCUUGCCAAGGCAACGAUGCGUAGCCGACCUGAGAGGGUGAUCGGCCACACUGGAACUGAGACACGGUCCAGACUCCUACGGGAGGCAGCAGUAGGGAAUCUUCCGCAAUGGGCGAAAGCCUGACGGAGCAACGCCGCGUGAGUGAUGAAGGUCUUCGGAUCGUAAAACUCUGUUAUUAGGGAAGAACAAAUGUGUAAGUAACUAUGCACGUCUUGACGGUACCUAAUCAGAAAGCCACGGCUAACUACGUG
rnacentral:rRNA from 1 species